ACCUUGGGGUGAUGAGCACUGUGAACUGCUUCUAGUCGAGUUUACUUGAGAACGAUCAUGAUUUUUGGUUCUUUUUUAUCGAGAAAAGGAGUUACAGACACGACCCUUACCACCAUGAUUUCCUUUAAAACCUAAAGCAAAGGCACCAAGGUUUGUAUACAUAGCAAUAACAGGGA